CCUACGGGUGGCAGCAGUGAGGAAUAUUGGUCAAUGGUCGGGAGACUGAACCAGCCAAGCCGCGUGAGGGAUGAAGGUACAGAGUAUCGUAAACCUCUUUUGUCAGGGAACAAAGGCGGGGACGUGUCCCCGGAUGAGUGUACCUGAAGAAAAAGCAUCGGCUAACUCCGGGCCAGCAGCCGCGGAAAUACGGGGGAUGCGAGCGUUAGCCGGAUUUAUUGGGUUUAAAGGGGGCGCAGGCGGUCGGUUAAGUCAGAGGUCAAAGCCCGGGGCUCAACCCCGGCCCGCCGUUGAAACUGGCAUGCUCGAGUGAGAGAGAAGUAUGCGGAAGGCGCGGUGUAGCGGUGAAAUGCAUAGAUAUCGCGCAGAACUCCGAUUGCGAAGGCAGCAUGCCGGCUCCACACUGACGCUGAGGCACGAAAGCGUGGGUAUCGAACAGGAUUAGAUACCCGGGUAGUC
rnacentral:rRNA from 1 species